AGUGAACGCUGGCGGUAGGCCUAACACAUGCAAGUCGAACGGCAGCACAGUAAGAGCUUGCUCUUACGGGUGGCGAGUGGCGGACGGGUGAGGAAUACAUCGGAAUCUACUUUUUCGUGGGGGAUAACGUAGGGAAACUUACGCUAAUACCGCAUACGACCUACGGGUGAAAGCAGGGGAUCUUCGGACCUUGCGCGAUUGAAUGAGCCGAUGUCGGAUUAGCUGGUUGGCGGGGAAAGGCCCACCAAGGCGACGAUCCGUAGCUGGUCUGAGAGGAUGAUCAGCCACACUGGAACUGAGACACGGUCCAGACUCCUACGGGAGGCAGCAGUGGGGAAUAUUGGACAAUGGGCGCAAGCCUGAUCCAGCCAUACCGCGUGGGUGAAGAAGGCCUUCGGGUUGUAAAGCCCUUUUGUUGGGAAAGAAAAGCAGCAGAUUAAUACCCCGCUGUUCUGACGGUACCCAAAGAAUAAGCACCGGCUAACUUCGUG
rnacentral:rRNA from 1 species